CAACUGCAAUUCUCAGGCUAUGAAAUCUGGAUUUUUGAAUUUAAAUUAUACCACAGCACCAUAUGGCUGAGGAGAGAGGAGUGCUCAAUUUCUUAUCUAACUGAGAGUUCUUCUCACGCAAGGGAAAUUGCCGUCACAGUCCAAGUUUUCCCCGGCUCUCCGAGGUUUAGUAUUACUGCUGCCUCCCAAAGCGCAUGCGCAUAGGAUUUUCUGAAGCGGCUCAGAGAAAAGUUGCUGCAAAACACAGCGACGAGGAGAGCUCCCUCGAGUCCGCCGUUGCCCGUCUUCUCACUGAUGCUGACGAGGCCACGAGGCCAAGUUCUGGAAAUGGGAGCACUCUGGGUGUCCUUCACUUAAGAGCAUUAAAAAAUGUAUUUAACUUGAGGCGUAUUCAGAACUUCAUUCCUUUCCCCGAGGGCAUGGAACCAAGCCGGGUCCUUGGCAUUGGAUACCUCCUCCCGUCCUCCGAACCCGUGCUCCCCACGUGCCCUUUGCUCCUGGUGGCCGACCUGGCUGGCUGACAUCCCCGUGGCUCCUGCGCUCUGCCUUUUAGCUGGGGUUGUCCAUCGUGAACACUCCAUUGUCUGUGCAAUAGACAGAAAGCAAUGCUGUGGACCAAUAAAAGCAGCGAGGUGACAGACCAUGAGAGGUACUGGCUGGUUAUACUGUUCCCUUCUGGUUACCCUCAGAGCCCACCGUCCUUUUCUGCAGAGGCCUUCACUCAUGAGAUGUCAUCCUUUGUAUCAUGCACCCCCACUGUCUAGGCCACAUCAGAUUGGACUAUUGAUGGGGUCCAGGUCCAAAGAUGGCCAAAAGUUAGCAAUCUUCCAGGUGGCCUGGAUCUGUCCUGGUUCAUGACUGGCUAGUCUGAGGAUGUUAAAGGAUGGGACACCCAGUGACAUACAGCAAGAGGAGGGUAGCAUGGAACCAGGGAUAUAAUAAAGAGAUGCCUCUAAGUGCGGAUGCUGUCACAGGAAGAGAAGGGAGUCAGUUGACAAUGGCUGCAGCAGUAGAAG